CCAUUUCAGUUUGAGGACUCUAAAUGAGACUGCCAACGACAAGUUGGAGGAAGUGGGGAUGACGUCAAAUCAUCAUGCCCUUUAUGACCUGGGCUACAAACGUACUACAAUGGCCAAUACAAAGAGAUGCGAAGCGGUGACGUGGAGCGAACCUCAGAAAGUUGGUCUCAGUUCAGAUUGAAGUCUGCAACUCGACUUCAUGAAGGCGGAAUCGCUAGUAAUCGCGGGUCAGCAGACCGCGGUGAAUACGUUCCCGGGUUUU
rnacentral:rRNA from 1 species